rnacentral:rRNA from 1 species
GAUGAACGCUGGCGGCGUGCUUAACACAUGCAAGUCGAACGAUUAAAGCCCCUUCGGGGGUGUAUAGAGUGGCGAACGGGUGAGUAACACGUGGGCAAUCUGCCCCUCACUUCGGGAUAACUCAGGGAAACUUGAGCUAAUACCGGAUACUCCGAACUGAUCGCAUGGUCGGUUCGGGAAAGCUCCGACGGUGAGGGAUGAGCCCGCGGCCCAUUAGCUUGUUGGUAGGGUAACGGCGUACCAAGGCGACGAUGGGUAGCCGAGCUGAGAGGCUGAGCGGCCACACUGGGACUGAGACACGGCCCAGACUCCUACGGGAGGCAGCAGUGGGGAAUGUUGCGCAAUGGGCGAAAGCCUGACGCAGCAACGCCGCGUGCGGGAUGAAGGCUCUCGGGUCGUAAACCGCUUUCAGCAGGGAUGAAAUUGACAGUACCUGCAGAAGAAGCCCCGGCUAAAUACGUGCCAGCCGCCGCCGUAAUAC